CAAUCGAAAAACUGAACAUCCUGUCAAAAGUGACAUUUUCUUGGAUGGAAAUCGAUUUAUUUAUUUUCUUUGAAACUGCACAUUUCACGAGGAUGACUUGAGUCAGAACAUUUUUACCAGCUCUUCUGAAGACUUGGUCAUGAGGAAACCAUCAAAAUGUAUGGGAGGAAAUUUCAUAAAUAACAAAAAAUGAAGCAACGCCUAUGCAACGAAGCAGGAAAUGAGUGCUGGCAUCUGAAGCUUUGGUGGUGCUUUACACAUCCAAGGAGGGUUAUUACUCUGUUUUACUACUGCAGGUUGAAAACAACCCAAACCUUUCCCGGGAGGUGAAGUUCAAACCACUACAUAUAUUUUUUUUUUGUUAGCUGUCUCACUUUUUAUUGGUUUAUUUUGAACUCUGUGUAUGCAUACAGCGUUGGAGGAUUUACUCUGUAAUGGGAGGAAGCCGUUUUUGUUGUAAAAGCCUGUCUGAACUACUGGUAGUCUGGUGGUUGGAACUUCAAAGCUUUUCCCUCAAGCAGCUGGGCAUUUUUUGGUAAAUGAGGAAACUCCAGCCAUAUUCUGCAUCUUUGUCUGGAGGACCAUGUGGCUUUUUCAAUUUGCAGACCCCAAGAUAUCACCUUCUGCAGCUGGAAAGCCUUGUUGGCAGUGCUGUCCGAUGGUCAGAGAAUGCUGGCAACUAAGGACAUCUUUCGUUAAGCUGUGUAAUGUAUCUGAAAACAAAAAAUAGUAUGGUUUUGGGUGCAAAAGCCCUUCUCGAAGUUAGAUUUCGAAGCUAAGGACAUUUGCUGACAGUUCAGUUGGAUGUGUACCUGUUAGAGUAUCUUUGAAAGAAAAUGAUAUGCUAUAAGCUGGUGCCUGUAGCAUAGUGGGAGCGUUGGCAAAGGGAGAGCUGGUGAUAAGCGUCUUAACUUGUGGAGGAAAAUGAGAGCCAGGUCCUUUAUAGCCUGUGAAACACGGCAAGGUUAGCGAGGGGCUGAGAUUAUAUUGUUCCAUGAGACUAAUAUCUUGAGUUUUAUGUUUUCUGGUUCCCAGUACAGCUAUCAGUCUUGUUCUCACGUUCGCUGUUGGACAGUGUUUUUCAGGGCUCUUGGAGUAGCUCAGGACCGAGAGAUCAGAGAGGGAGUGACAGUUUUGUCAGAGGUUUUCCCCCUUCAGCAGCGUGUUCCUCAUCUUCGAGUGGUCGUUUGAGCAAUUGCUGAUGCAAGUCUUAAAUACAGGAGAAAAGCUUUCUCAGUCUUCAGAAGCAUGAGUUUAAAACAAUCAAUAAUUUCUGUGUUUUAAAAAGUUUGGAGAAAGUCACAAUUUCACUGUUUCAGAAUUCAGAGGCAGUGCUUCUGGUUCCACAGCUUAAGAAAAAUGAUAUGCUGCACUGGGGAAGAGAAGUGCGAUCCUUGCUUUCCCCAUCUGCAUCUGUUCCAUCCCCUUUUAUUCCUACUGCAGGUAGGAAUAGGGUCUGAAGACAUCAGCACCUUUCCUGUUAGAAACCAUCAUGCUUUCUGGUUAAAUUUAUAUAUGGGAGAGAUAGAUCCAGCCAUGCUUAUGCUAAUGCUGGUUUAAAGAGCCACCUCCGGCUUUUUCUGCGAGGUAAGUAUGUGGAGAAGCUGUGGACCCUCUCAACUGUUGUUUUGUCACACAAACACAGCAAGAUACUUCAGUUUCUUCUCCUAAACUGAGCUGGCCAAUAGCCUUCAAGUAGCACUAUUCCAUACAUUUCCCCCCUGCCCUGGCUUUGUGCAGUGCCCACCCAAUGGCAGUCCCAUCUAUCCUUCAUCGUCAGCUGCAUGGAUUUGGCUUUUUCACAGCACCUUCAGACUGCUGCUUGGUAAUUUCACAAUCAGCCUAUCCCCCAGAGCCUUCUUCAGCCAUCGUUUCAAGCAGCAAGUGAUUUUUUUUUGUCAGCAAUUCCAGAUUACCACUAUGGACACUGCUCGGCUCCAUCCCGAGGCAUACCCCAUUAAUUCUGGCUGCAAAAUGUUCCAAAUUUGCUGUGGGAUGGCAGUUCUUAUCAUCAGCAAAUCGGAUCGGCACGCUCCAAAAGUCACGCAGAGGCUAUUAAUUUAAAUAAUACGGAAAAUUAUUCCCCAAACUAUUUUUUACCUUCCAGAGUGGUUCAUUCCUCCCCAGUGCAAUCUGUUGCUGUCCCUCCUUUGAGCUGAUUUCUUAGCUGCUUUCAAUUCCUCUGCUAAUCCCCAUUCUCUCCAUUUCGAGUAUUUCCCUUGUGGCAUUAUAACCAACACUUUAUUGAAGUUUGAAUAGACUCCAUUCUUGCAUGUCCUUUAUCUAAGAAAUGAGUUAUCUUUCUAGAGAAAGCUACCAACUAAUUCUUGUAUGGUCUCUCUUUGGUAAGCUCAUGCUAUGCUUUUUCUUCUCUUUGUGUUUGUCAGCCUUUUAUUGUUCUUUCCUUCAAAAGUUGUUCCUCUGCUGUCAAAUUAACAUUUUGUAAUUGCCUCCAAUUCACCCUUCUUCCUCACUUUCAUGCUCUGUAGAUUGAUAUUUUUCACUCUUAUGACACUACUGUGAGUUGCUAGAUUUAAUAAAAAUCCUCUCUGUUAGCACAGUGAUCUCAUGAGAUUUCUAUAAAGAAUAAAAAGGCUCCCAAGGUGGAAAGCAAGCUCCUGGUGGCAAAGGAAUUAGAGCCAAAAGAGAUCAAGAAAGUGGAUUUCCACUCCUACAGCUUAGAAACAAUUCUCUGCCCUUUCCAUGUUCCACUGGAUGAUGUCCUUCUUGCUCUUUGCACUUGGAAGUCUGUAGGUGAGGCUCAGUUAAUUCAAGCUCUUUACCUUUUGGGGUCUGGGAGGACUUAAAUUCACUGGGAAUAGCUACAAGGUGCUUGCUUUGGGAGGGAAAAAACAGGAUUUCUCCUGGGAAAGAUGGAGAUGUCUUUGUGCCAUGGUGGGCACAGCUCCCUGUGGCAAGGUUCAGGGGAAGGCAGGCUUCUAAGUUGGCAGGUACUUGUUGGUCUUGAAGAGAACACUGUGGUGGACAACAAUGCCUUUACAAGCAAUCCUGGGGGCUUUUCUUUCGCAGUUACUGAUGCUUUUGGGAGAGGGCUGUGGGACACCAUGCUGUUUUUGUUUUUGUUGUUUUUUAACCAUUGUUUAUAAUUAUGUUUCACCAUUGUCUAAAGUGGGCAAUAUGCCACUGUGCUCAGUGCUGUACCAGCAAGGUGAUGAUGCCUGCUCUGAGGGAUUUCUAGUCUAAGGAUUACCAGAAUGUGAUCUGGAUUUCUUGGCUGGAGCUUGCGGAACAAGAACUGUGUAACACCAGCCAGGAGCUGCAAGCUGAA